rnacentral:tRNA from 2 species
GAGAAGAGUUAGAAACGCAGAAACU